rnacentral:rRNA from 1 species
CGCUGAUCCCUCCCUCUUGACGAACUGUGAUGCCAUUAAUUUGGUGUCGCAGGGAAUCAGGACUGUUACUUUGAAAAAAUUAGAGUGUUUAAAGCAGGCUUUCGCUUGAAUACAUUAGCAUGGAAUAAUGAAAUAGGACGUUUGAUCCUAUUUUGUUGGUUUCUAGGAUUGACGUAAUGAUUAAUAGGGAUAGUUGGGGGCAUUAGUAUUCAAUUGUCAGAGGUGAAAUUCUUGGAUUUAUUGAAGACUAACUACUGCGAAAGCAUUUGCCAAGGAUGUUUUCAUUAAUCAAGAACGAAAGUUAGGGGAUCGAAGACGAUCAGAUACCGUCGUAGUCUUAACCAUAAACUAUGCCGACUAGGGAUCGGAUGAUGUUAAUUUUUUAAUGACUCAUUCGGCGCCUUACG